rnacentral:lncRNA from 10 species
UUUUACUCAACCUUUUAUAGUACAGGGUUCUUAAAAAAUUUUGAAAAGAAUGUCCACAAAAAGUUUGAGUUAUACCCUUUACCUUUAGUAACAAAAGGUUAGUAGAAAGCAAGACAUUUAAGUAUUACCAAGAAUCUAACUUAUCUCCAUAAUUUCUUUCAUAUAUUCAUUUGCUUACUUGUGACACAGAGUCCCACUAACUCAGAAGCAUUCUCUAAGCUGGCCUCUCACUGGCUCUGAGACUGUUGCUGCCCCACAGUUCUAAUUCCCAUUUGGAAAGGAAAGAGGAAGUACAGGAGAAGGAGGGUCAUGCAGGGCCACAUCCAGUCAAAACUCUCACAAAACCUUGAGAAACAGGGCAAGAUAUCCCUUCCAGGCAAGAUAUCCUUUACAGAAGAAAAGUUCUGGAGAACUUAAGGCAGCUCUAGAAGGGAAGGGAGCAAGGGUUAAGGCGGCCCUCACAGCACAGCCUGAGAACAAAUUACAAUGCACUCAUCCAUGAACAGAGGUCACGGCAAUACAGAUCCUCUUCAACGCGCAUGCACACGACACCCCUCCUAGCACCCAUCAACACCUACGGCAUGCACACACUGCAGUGCCCACGCACACACUGACUUGUAUAUGGCCUGCCCAGUGACAGCCCUCGGAAGGCACCCAGUGACUUGGGCUCCCCUGUGCUGAGGACCUAAACUGGGAAGGUGGCCUAUAGCUGCAGGCCUGUCCAGGCUGCACAGCUCACCUGGUGGCUCCAAUAAAGACUCUGAUGGGUGUGGGGAGAGUAACUUUCCUCUUAAUUUCAGAGAGGCUUUUGCUGUUUCCUGUCUUUUUGGUUGAGACAACCUGCUACCAAUUAAUGCCCAAACAGAGUAUUGCAUCCUCCCAGAGAGCACUGAUUCAUGACAGAAGUCAAGCUGAGUUAUAGCAAGUAACUAUGACAAAAAAGAAAACCACCUGGCGCUGAGCACUUGGUCUCCUUAAAACAAGUAACUUGGUACGCAGCACUUGCUCGGUUCCCACAUGCCAGCUGCCAACUCUGAUAAAAAAGCACCCCUUGCUGGCCAGGGGCAUUCCACACGUACCAGGAGGGGCAGCACGUGACCUCACGACAUUUUUAAAGUCUCCUGCAUCACAGGUGCCCACACCACCACUGCUCCAUAUGGGAAAGCAGGACAGCCAGAGGGCUGUGCGACAUCAGGCAAGUCACUGCCCCUAUCUCUAUUCCCAAGCUAUCAUCAGAAAUGAUUGUAGAAGCGACCCCACCUACCGUCCAUGCUGCUGUGAGGAUGAAACGAGGUAACAGAGGAAAGCGCCGCAGGAAAGCAUAUCUGGACCCAGGCCACCAAGAGAGGUUAAUUCAGACCCCCAUCUGGAGCUCUGGGUAGACCUGGGAGGAAGCUGGAGCCCUGGAAUAGCAGAACCUUUGUGCCACCAUCGCUGAACAGGAGAAACCACCAAGGGCAGCUGUAGGAGCUCUGGCUCCAGCACUUGACAGGACAAAGACAGGAGAUGGGAGAGAAGGGCUCAGACCACAGCCUUUCUUUCAUGACGCUUCAGUACAUGAGCUGUCCGGAGUAAAAAAAAGGGCUGCAUGGCAGUGACAGCUACAGCAUGACCUGGAAGACCUGAGAAGAUUCAGGGUGCACGUUGAGUCGUGCUACACAGGAUGAAGCUGGGGGAGGUCUGGGAGAUUUCCAGGGCUGAGGCGGACAGCCUGUACCACGUUGCAUUUUCUUAGCAACUCCCCAACUUACAGCCUAUCGGAUGCUGUUAGAUUCUGACACAUUUGGUACGAACCAAAUGGCUAUGACUUAAUUGUGCAUUGAAAACCGCAUUGACAACCAGGAAAAACUGGGAGAAUUUGAUGCAAUUGGUAGUGUU